CAUCAUGAAGCUGUAUAACUGGGUAUACAAAAUGCAAAACAUGCAAUGUGCACAAUUUCUUCAAUCACAGCCACAGAAGCCUGUAACUUCUUCUGGGUUUUAUGGGUGUCUUGGUGGCUUUCCUCACUCUUCUCCUUCUUGCAUAGUCACU